UUGGUCUUUACUUGUGUUUUUGUCUAAUUCCUUCACUACACUGCUGCAUCUAUAACAAUGUUUUCUCAUAGGAAUUCUGCAAUUUAGUCAUACAUGUUCUUAGUCUUUAUCAACUAUCUUCAGUCACAUACAUAAAGGCUCUCGAACUCGUUUCCUCCAGUCUCGGUUUUCACAGCAAACACUCCGUUCUUGUUCACUCCCAUUUCUCAAAACUCGCUCAAUAGCAGAUAGGGCCUUUUUCAGUGCAUCAUUGGAGGCCAUUCUGAAGGGUCUCAGCCUCACCACUUGGUACUCUUCGACAUGGUAGAGCCGGGUAGGAGCCUUAGUGUAAGGCCUGCAUGCGUUGCUAGUGAUGACGUUGCCCGGGACACAAUGGUCUUUCACUAUUAUGCACUCGCUUGCUUCGUGAUCUCGGCUUCCAUAGUCCUUAGCCUCAAGGUUAAGCUCGCUGCCAACAACUCGUUCCUCUCUACAUUUCGCAUCAGGCUUGUCAUCUCUUCCUUGUGUUUUAUCCUAGGGUUUAGAUUUCUCGUGCUGGCGCACAUAGACCUCGUUCAGAUGAGGCUCGGGUUAUUCGCUUGCAGAACCUAUACCGGCAGCAUUGUCUGCAUGCUUCUUGUAUAGUCCUGUUUUCUACACUUUACCUUUUCGCUGAUGCUGCAUUGUCUGCAUUUACUACUAGUUAUAUUAGGUUCUUCUUUAUUAGGUGAGGAGAGAUUAAACUACACCACUCUAACUCUUACACUAAUGUUAGUUAAUUAUUGAUCAGAAUCAAGUGAUUGUACAUUCCCCUGAGUCACUAGCUAUCGAUUGAUGGGGUAUGCUAUCUCAGUUGACAUUAUGUUUAGCUUUAUGUUAUUUUUUAUAUGGAUGAUUGG